rnacentral:rRNA from 1 species
UGCAAGUCGAGUGCGCGUUUCUGUAGCAAUACAGGAAUGGCGCACGGCGCACGGGUGCGUAACACGUGGGUAAUCUGCCCUCUGAUGGGGAAUAACCCGCCGAAAGGCGGGCUAAUUCCGCAUAACAUUCCUUGGACACCGGUUCGAGGACUCAAAGGCGUAAGUCGUCGGAGGUGGAGCCCGCGCCCGAUUAGCUAGUUGGUGAGGUAACGGCUCACCAAGGCAAUGAUCGGUAGCUGGUCUGAGAGGAUGGCCAGCCACACUGGAACUGAGACACGGUCCAGACUCCUACGGGAGGCAGCAGUGGGGAAUCUUGCACAAUGGGCGAAAGCCUGAUGCAGCGACGCCGCGUGGGGGAUGAAGCUUCUCGGAGUGUAAGCCCCUUUCGACCCGGACGAAUGCCCCGCAAGGGGAGUGACGGUACGGGUAUAAGAAGCCCCGGCUAACUACGUGCCAGCAGCCGCGGUAAGACGUAGGGGGCCAGCGUUGUUCGGAAUUACUGGGUGUAAAGGGUUCGUAGGCGGUGUAGCAAGUUGGGAGUGAAAUCUCUGGGCUCAACUCAGAGGCUGCUUCCAAAACUGCUGUGCUGGAGUGUGGGAGAGGCGCGUGGAAUUGCAGGUGUAGCGGUGAAAUGCGUAGAUAUCUGCAGGAACACCCGUGGCGAAAGCGGCGCGCUGGACCACUACUGACGCUGAGAACGAAAGCUAGGGGAGCAAACAGGAUUAGAUACCCUGGUAGUCCUAGCCCUAAACGAUCAGGACUUGGGGUGCCACCCGUUCGGGUGUCGUCCCGGAGCUAACGCGUUAAGUCCUGCACCUGGGGAGUACGGUCGCAAGACUGAAACUCAAAGGAAUUGACGGGGGCCCGCACAAGCGG